UACGUAGGGUGCGAGCGUUAAUCGGAAUUACUGGGCGUAAAGCGUGCGCAGGCGGUUUUGUAAGCCAGAUGUGAAAUCCCCGGGCUUAACCUGGGAAUGGCAUUUGGGACUGCAAGGCUGGAGUGCGGCAGAGGAGACUGGAAUUCCGCGUGUAGCAGUGAAAUGCGUAGAGAUGCGGAGGAACACCGAUGGCGAAGGCAGCCCCCUGGGCCAAUACUGACGCUCAGGCACGAAAGCGUGGGGAGCAAACAGG
rnacentral:rRNA from 1 species